AAAAGAUUAGUUAAACAAUAUAACAUUAGAGUGUCAAACUAAAAUUACUGAGUUACAGUAUCUUUUA
rnacentral:tRNA from 1 species